rnacentral:lncRNA from 1 species
CUCUCCUUCACUCUCGAACGUACGGACAAGCUAGGAACCUCCCAUUUCUUCAUGGAUCGAAGGUUCUAAGGUAAGAUUUGAACUCCUAGUAAGCUUGUGAGUUAGUAUAUGUGAUUUUUGGAUCUUAAAACCCUCAGAAUCAUCGUGAAACCAUAACCCCGAAAAUGUGCACUGUUCAUGCACACGUAAAAUCUUGCAUUUCAGGGAAUUUCAAGCUCACAGUGAGCUUAAGGAGAUCCUCACGAGCUUCGGGGUACUUCGUUGGUAGAAUUUGGACGUCGGAGGACCGAGAUCGGAGUUUUUCAAAAUUGGCCGGAUUAUCGUGCUUCCUCAGGUAAAAUCUAGUGGAUUUUGGACCUUGAAACUAGUCUAUUGUGAUUCUACAUGUUGAGGGCUUCAAAUUGAUAUAUUAUACGAAGAAAACGGUUGAGAAACGAAGGAGAACGAAGCAUUUGAAAAUUCCCCAGUUUUCCGGCCACCGGAAAAACCAGUCCGGCGAGCCCAAGGUAGGAGACGCGCGUGGGGGCGCGUGAACCCGUGACCUUCCUGGCGGGUGGGGGCGCGUACGGUCUCAGAAAAUUUUUCAAAAAAUAUCACGACGUCCGUGACAUCGAGUAGGUCACUGUGGUAUAUUCAUGUACCCAAAUUGAGCACCGUAUGAGAAGUUAUUGAGAAUUAUUGGUUAUAUGCUUUAAACAACGUUUAUAUAGUAUUCACCGCGGCGGCGCGUGGCGAAUGGCCCGCCAAUGUCAUUCUUAGCAUGUGUUUAAGGUUCUAGGUUCAGUUUUGAUAAUGGUUGGAUGUAAAUUGAGUAAUUGAACCUAAGUUGGUUACGAUUCGUGGUUAGGAGAAAAUGUGAAUUUACGAUCCAACCGUUGGAUUGUCACCAAACUUUGAUACGUUGUAAUAUAUAAUAUUUGAGGAUUAUAGGAACUUACGGAUCGGGAAUCCGAUUUACGGAUCUUCCGAAAUUGGAGUUGUAAGUUCAUAAAAUAGAAUGUUAAUCGUCACUUGGUUUUGGAAAUUUACGGAGAUCCGACCGUUGGAUGGUAAUGAAAUUUUAGGAUGUUGUCCUAGAGAUAUAUUGUGGACCUUUGGAAGUUAUGGAUUUAAAAUCUGAGUGGCAGAUCUUCCGGAUCGAACUACGUAGUGACGUAUUUAUAUAAGUUAUAUAUUCUAUCGAUAUGAAUUCUGAGGUGGGAUUUGAUUAUUGUUUUAGGCGCCGAUCGUCAUGACGCCUUGGCGUAUUGUGCUAGGGAGUUGUAGGGCGAACUCCAGGUGAGUGGGCAGUAUUUUCUAUUUAUACCUAUAUGCUAUUGAAUUUCCCAGAAAUUGAGUUUUAAUGAAAAUAUGUUUUUAAAUGCCAUGCAUGCAAUUGAUGAGAUAUUUGAAUUAAUAAUUGAUACAUAUAUAUGUGAAUUGACGCUGUGGACGCACAUGUGAGUUUUUACAUUAUUCAUACGAUUUAUUUAUGUGAAUUGCAUUGAAAGCUCAUAACCUGCACCCUAGGUGUUAGUGCUUAUAUUAUUCACCACACCGCACGCUCGCCUUGGAUCCAAGUAGGUGGAUGUCGUACAGACCAUGUGAGGGUUCCGACAUGCUAGUCGUAUAGAUCACCAGAUGUGAUUCCGACUAGUGGGUGACCUUAGUUAUGCGCGCUGAUGAUUGAUGAGAGAAGCACUAAAGCGUAUUUUUACACCUUUCAUCGUACAGACUACCUUACGUAGUUCCGAGUGAUGUGCAGAGUAGGGCCGUAUAGGUCACUGUGGUGACUCCGGCUGGAUGGGAUAUUGAGCUAUAUAAUUAACCGUACAGGACCAACUGCAGGGUCUCCGGUUGAUUCAUUAUGUCACCUGUUAUAUUGAUGCAUCCAUAUUCUGUUUUGACUUUAUGGCAUGGCAUGAUUUCUGGAUUUUGAUACAGAUUGAUGAUUUGAGAUAUGAGGAUUUUUUUUAUACUAUUAUGUUAUUUUCUGGGAAAAGUAUACAGGUUUUACAGAGAAGGGUUAGAUAUUUUUGGCGAAAUGUUUUUGAAAAGCUUUGGUUUUACUGACCCACUUAAUUUUGUUUUUCGCCCCUCCAGGUUCAAGUUAGCAGAGUUUUGGUGGCCACGAGGAACCCAACGGCGUUCUGACAAAAUUCACAAAAGUAGGACUCACCCUCGGGGGUUUCCAUUUUAGUAAUUGUAUUUUAAAAGCUUCCGAACUGUGUAAAUGGUUACGUCACUCUCACGUGACGGCCAGCAUGCCCUCUUUCGGGACGGGGUGUGUCAGUUGGUAUCAGAGCCUAGGUUGCAAUUCUGGACCUCUUGAGAAUUUCCUAGUGUCUUCUGUCAGAACUAUACCGCCUCGUAGCGAGCCACGUAGUUCGGAUGAACUUAAUUUCCCUGAUAUAGUAGUUUGGGAGGAAAUUAUUGCCAUUAUGAUUCAGUCUAUUAUCUAAAGGAACCUUUAAGACUGGUUAUAAGUUAAAUUUGAAUCCCUUUAGGGAUAUGAAGGACCUAAGGGAGCAGAUUGAUGGCUUAAUCAUUUGGGAAAAGGCGUUUCAGAUUAUGCAAAGUCAAGGGAAUCUUCCUCCCGACAGGUGGGUUGAGAUGACUACCUAGUUUUUGAGUGUUGAAUCUGCAUUCUGAUGGAGAUAGGAAUGUUAUCCGAUGAUAUCGGAAGGACAGCUGUUUGGAAGUUGUUUAAAGAAUUGUUUAAGAAAAAGUUCAUUCCUCCGACAUAUUGUGAUGGUGGUAAGCAAGAAUUUGCAAAUGUGAGACAAGGAAAAUGACGACAGAUGAAUAUUAUAGAAAGUUUACAGACUUGCCUUGUUUCCAUUCGGAUGUUGUUGUUAAUCCGGUCGAGGUGUUAUGUCGUUUUUGGCUGGAUAAUAAGAAGAAGUGGUGUUCUUUGGCGACCACUAUCCAAUGUACUAUUUACCAAGAAUUUACGAGAUGUUGUUGAGAAUUGAGGACUCUGAGAGCAUGAUCAGCGAGAGUAAAGAAGAAUAAGAAAAGAAUGGUAAUUAGAGGAAAGACGAUAAAGUUAAAGAUUCAUAUCAAGGACAUCGAAAGACUCAGAGCUUCAAAAGAAGUGAAGUUAGAACUAAUUCUUCCAGCUUAGGUUUUAAUGCCACUGGUCAGAGGCGAAGUGAUAGAUUUACUGGUGAUCCCAGAUCUUAAAGACAAGGUGACUCGAGUAAGGGAAAUGUACCUUUGUGCCAUAGGUACAAUAUUAGACACUUUGGAGAGUGUGGGAAUCAGUGAAUGUGUUCAUGUGGACAGAUGGGACAUAGAGUUAUGAAUGGUCCCUAGAAUCAGUUGUUACCCAGCAGUCUUCUCUGACACCACAAUAUCGAUCCAGCAGGUUUAUGGACUUAAUAGUUUGGUCAGAUGGGCCGUGGGUACAGGGAUAUUUGAUGAGUUAUAAGUCCAGCCGUACAGGCCACAAGAGGUGGAUCCGGCGGACAUAUUAUUUGGAAAAUUGAUGAGUAAGUCGUGCAGGUCACUAUAGUUGACUCCGACUUAUGUGCUAGCAUGGAUGGUUGAGCUAGAGAAUCAGCUGUAUAUGUCAUUCUAGCUGACUCCGGCUGAUAUAUUUCUUAUUAUGGAUGAUGUUGCCAAAGAGAGUAAUGUUGGAGCACGAUCGAGGCGUAUUUAUGUAUUUCUAAGGAAGAACAAGAUGAUAAUAUUACGCCUUCAGGAAUUGCUACUUACUUAUCGAGACACAAUGAGUUAUUUGUAUUGCGGGCUGCAGACCGUAAUAUUUAUAACUUAUUUGUUGGAUUCGUUAAGCAAGUAAACAGGUAGGGCACUCUAUGUUGAUUUGGUUUAUUCAGGAUGCCUAAUGAUGGUGGAAGAUAUAGUUAUGCCACUGAAUCUUAUUUCGUUGGACAUCGUGGAUUUGGAUGUGAAUUUAGGCACAUAUUAGUUGCGUUAUAAUCAUAACAAGAUAGAUUGCUACGGGAAACCAGUUACCUUCCACCAAUUUGGAUGACUAGAGGUUACUUUUGUGGGUAUGCAAAGUGGAUUAAGUUAGGCCGUUAUUUAUGCUGUGAGAGCAAAGAGAUUGUUAUCGAAAGGCUGCCAAGGAUACUUAGCUCAUAUGGUGCUAAAUGAUGUUGCUUCUAGUAGUUUGGGAGAUGUAAAGGUGGUUAGACAUUUUCUUGAUGUUUUCCCUGAGGAAUUACCUGGAUUGCCGUUAGGCGGAGAUAUGGAGUUCACUAUUGAUUUGUCUCCAGGCACAAAUUUUAUGUUAAAGAUUGGUUCAUGAUGAGUUAAGGGAAUUGAAAAUUCGGUUACAGGAAUUGGUUGAUAAAGGUAUCAUUUAAAGUACAUCACGUUGGGGGAGCACCAGUUUAUUGGUGAGGAAGAAAAUGGACAUUAAGGCUAUGUUUUAAUUAUAGGCAAUUGAAUUGGGUAAUGAUCAAGAACCGUUAUCCAUUGUUGCGUAUUAAUGAUUUGUUGAUCAACUUAGAGGUCUGCGUAUUUCUUAAGAUUGACUUAAGGUCUGGUUGUUACCGAUUGAAGAGUUAAUGAUAACGUUCCUAAGAUUGUGUUCAGGACUCAUUACGGUCAUUAUGAGUUUUAGUGAUGUUAUUCGGAUUGAUGGAUUCUCUUGCUAUUUUAUGAGUUUGAUGGAUGAAGUAUUCCAGGAAUGCAUUGACAAGUUUGUUAUUGUUUUCAUUGACGAUAUUCUGGUAUACUCUAAGCCUAGAGCAGAGCAUGUUAGAUAUUUUAAGUUGAUGUUACAAAGUUUGAGGGAACGUCGAUUGUAUGCUAAGUUUAGCAAAUGCCAAUGUUGGAUGAAUCAAGAAGCAUUUAUGAGAUAAGUUAUAUUUGCUAAAGGUAUUCAAGUGAAUUUUUAAAAGGUAACGGAAAUUGAGAAUUUGGAACAACCACAAACUGUGAUUGAGAUUCGAAGUUUUCUUAGUUUGGCAGGCUAUUGUGGACGGUUCGUGAAAGAUUUCCCAGUCAUUGCUUUGCCACUGACGAUAUUGACGAGAACAGAGGUUAAGUUUGAGUGGAUAAUAAUUGUGAGCAAAGGUUUCAAUAGUUGAAGUAUUUCCUCACUCAUACACGUAUUUUAGCACUCCCAGAAGAUAGCGGUAAUUAUGAGGUCUUUAGUGAUGCUUCUUCGGUUGGUCUUGGAUAAGUGUUAAUGCAGCAAGGUAGGGAGAUUACCUAUGCUUCACGGCAAUUGAAACUUCAUGAAAUGAAUUACUCUACUCACAAUUUGGAGUUAGUAGCUAUCAUCUUUACUUGGAAGUUUUGGAGACAUUACUUUUAUAGUGAAAAGUGUAAGAUUUUUACGAAUCAAAUGAGUCUCCAAUGUCUGCUUACUCGGAGGUAUUCUAAUCUUAGGCAGCGAAGGUGGAUUGAGUUACUAAAUAAUUAUGAUUGCAUGACCAGGGUGAUCGUGAAAUUGUUGCGACUGAUGCACUUGGUAGGAAGGCUUCAGUAAGAAUUAAUGCUUUGUAUGCUUGUUGUGUUUUCCCUUCUUGUGGAUUUGGGACCCUGGAGUGAAACUUAAGGUAAAAGUUGAGAAGAAGCUUUAUUGACUAAUUUUCAGGUUAGACCAAUUUUAGUUGAUUGUAUACUUGAUGCCCAGAAAUUUGACGAAGGAAUUCAAGAAUUAACCGAGGCAGAAUUGGAUGGUAUGUUUAUGCAAGAGAAUGGGACAUAUGUGCCAAAUUAUGUGGAAUUAAAGAAAGCAAUUUUGACGAUGUACACUGUUAAGCUUUUUGGGUAUGUUGGUUACUUCUAAGUUUUGGAUAGCGUACAGGAAGCUUGGUUACCAAGUUACCUUAUAGUACAACUUAUCGCCCUCAAAUAGAUGGUUAAUCAGAGAGCACUAUCCAGACUUUGGAGGAUAUGCUGAGAUCUUCAGUAUUGCAGUUGGCGACGCUUAGAUUAAGCGGUUGGAUUUGAGGGGAAUUGCCUACAUCUAUAGCGUUCGUUCGAGCAUGGGUAUGAGACCAUUUGAGGCACUUUUUGGUAAAGAUUGUAGUACACCUUUGUGUUGGACAGAAGUUGUCAAAAGAGUUCUUGCGGGCCCUGAGGUUAUGAAUGAGUCUACUUGGAAUGUUCGAGUGAUUAAUUUUAACUUGGGAAGCGGCCCAAGAUCACCAGAAAAGUUUAACAGACAGACAUGCCACUGAUCGAGUGUACAAGGUAAGUGAUUGGGUAUUUAUGAAGUUAUCACCGUGGCGAGGUGUUGUUCGAUUUGGAAAGAAAGGUAAGUUGAGUCCUAGGUACACCGGACCUUAUCAGAUCACCGAGCGAGUCGGUGAAGAUGUUUACAGGCUUGAAUUGCCGUCAGAGCUGUCCAGCGUACAUAAUGUGUUUCACGUUUCGGUGCUUCGACAUUAUGUUACAAAUCCGUCGCAUGUGAUCCCUCUGCAACCCUUAGAGUUUAACCCAGAUUUGUGUUACGAAGAGGAGCCGGUGACGAUACUUGAUUGGAAAGACAAGGUUAUAAGGAAUAAGACAGUGAGCUUGGUAAAAGUAUUGUGGAGGAACCACUCCGUGGAAGAAGCUACUUGGGAGACCGAAGAUCGGAUGAGAGAGAUGUAUCUGAGGUUAUUUUAUGAGUAUUAAGUGGAUUGGUAGGUUGUAUGAAUUUCAAGGAUGAAAUUCUAUAAGGGGGGAAGAUUGUCAUAGCCCGUCCCGGGAUUUUAUUCAUCGAGGACGUGAAAAGACGGAAUUACCCUUGACGGGUAUUAAGGUAUGUGUGUGUAUGAUAUAUUAUUUGGACUAAAUAUACAUUCCUAAACUUUUGGAGAAAAUAAUUUAAGUUGGAUUAAAUUGGAUUGUAUUUUGUGGUUAGGGAUUAAAAUUAGUAUGUAUGGUUUUGGUUGGACCACACACCCAGUCAACCCUUCGCUCUCUCUUCCCCGUGCUUCUCUCUCUUCCUCUCCGUUCAGUCUUUCUCCUUCACUCUCAAACGUACGGACAAGCUAGGAACCUCCCAUUUCUUCAUGGAUCGAAGGUUCUAAGGUAAGAUUUGAACUCCUAGUAAGCUUGUGAGUUAGUAUAUGUGAUUUUUGGAACUUAAAACCCUCAGAAUCAUCGUGAAACCAUAACCCCGAAAAUGUGCAUUGUUCAUGCACACGUAAAAUCUUGCAUUUUAGGGAAUUUCAAGCUCACAGUGAGCUUAAGGAGAUCCUCACGAGCUUCGGGGUACUUCGUUGGUAGAAUUUGGACAUCGGAGGACCGAGAUCGGAGUUUUUCAAAAUUGGCCGGAUUAUCGUGCUUCCUCAGGUAAAAUCUAGUGGAUUUUGGACCUUGAAACUAGUCUAUUGUGAUUCUACAUGUUGAGGGCUUCAAAUUGAUAUAUUAUACGAAGAAAACGGUUGAGAAACGAAGGAGAACGAAGCAUUUGAAAAUUCCCCAGUUUUCCGGCCACCGGAAAAACCAGUCCGGCGAGCCCAAGGUAGGAAACGCGCGUGGGGGCGCGUGAACCCGUGACCUUCCUGGCGCGUGGGGGCGCGUGCGGUCUCAGAAAAUUUUUCAAAAAAUAUCACGACGUCCGUGACGUCGAGUAGGUCACUGUGGUAUAUUCAUGUACCCAAAUUGAGCACCGUAUGAGAAGUUAUUGAGAAUUAUUGGUUAUAUGCUUUAAACAACGUUUAUAUAGUAUUCACCGUGGCGGCGCGUGGCGAAUGGCCCGCCAAUGUCAUUCUUAGCAUGUGUUUAAGGUUCUAGGUUCAGUUUUGAUAAUGGUUGGACGUAAAUUGAGUAAUUGAACCUAAGUUGGUUACGAUUCGUGGUUAGGAGAAAAUGUGAAUUUACGAUCCAACCGUUGGAUCGUCACCAAACUUUGAUACGUUGUAAUACGUAAUAUUUGAGGAUUAUAGGAACUUACGGAUCGGGAAUCCGAUGUACGGAUCUUCCGGAAUUGGAGUUGUAAGUUCAUAAAAUAGAAUGUUAACCGUCACUUGGUUUUGGAAAUUUACAGAGAUCCGACCGUUGGAUGGUAAUGAAAUUUUAGGAUGUUGUCCUAGAGAUAUAUUGUGGACCUCUGGAAGUUAUGGAUUUAAAAUCUGAGUGGCAGAUCUUCCGGAUCGAACUACGUAGUGACGUAUUUUAUAUAAGUUAUAUAUUCUAUCGAUAUGAAUUCUGAAGUUGGAUUUGAUUAUUGUUUUAGGCGCCGAUCGUCAUGAAGCCUUGGCGUAUUGUGCUAGGGAGUUAUAGGGCGAACUCCAGGUGAGUGGGCAGUAUUUUCUAUUUAUACCUAUAUGCUAUUGAAUUUCCCAGAAAUUGAGUUUUAAUGAAAAUAUGUUUUUAAAUGCCAUGCAUGCAAUUGAUGAGAUAUUUGAAUUAAUAAUUGAUACAUAUAUAUGUGAAUUGACGCUGUGGACGCACAUGUGAGUUUUUACAUUAUUCAUACAAUUUAUUUGUGAAUUGCAUUGAAAGCUCAUAACCUGCACCCUAGGUGUUAGUGCUUAUAUUAUUCACCACACCGCACGCUCGCCUUGGAUCCAAGUAGGUGGAUGUCGUACAGACCAUGUGAGGGUUCCGACAUGCUAGUCGUAUAGAUCACCAGAUGUGAUUCCGACUAGUGGGUGACCUUAGUUAUGCGCGCUGAUGAUUGAUGAGAGAAGCACUAGAGCGUAUUUUUACACCUUUCAUCGUACAGACUACCUUACGUAGUUCCGAGUGAUGUGCAGAGUAGGGCCGUAUAGGUCACUGUGGUGACUCCGGCUGGAUGAGAUAUUGAGCUAUAGAAUUAACCGUACAGGACCAACUGCAGGGUCUCCGGUUGAUUCAUUAUGUCACCUGUUAUAUUGAUGCAUCCAUAUUCUGUUUUGACUUUAUGGCAUGGCAUGAUUUCUGGAUUUUGAUACAGAUUGAUGAUUUGAGAUAUGAGGAUUUUUUUUAUACUAUUAUGUUAUUUUCUGGGAAAAGUAUACAAGUUUUACAGAGAGGGGUUAGAAUUAUUUUUGGCGAAAUGUUUUUGAAAAGCUUUGGUUUUACUGACCCACUCAAUUUUGUUUUUCGCCCCUCCAGGUUCAAGUUAGCAGAGUUUUGGUGGCCACGAGGAACCCAACGGCGUUCUGACAGAAUUCACAAAAGUAGGACUCACCCUCGGGGGUUUCCAUUUUAGUAAUUGUAUUUUAAAAGCUUCCGAACUGUGUAAAUGGUU